AAUUACGAGACAAAUUUCCUUUUAUAUUUGUAUCGAUGAUUUAUACAUUAGCUAGAAAGAGUUGAGAGAUCAAAACACUUCUUGCACUUUUUUAUAAAAAUUCCCAGAAUUUAUGAAAACUGUAAGAGUUGUUUUAAAAAUAGAGUUUUUGCGAUUUUUGACAGUGAAGCUAUAUAAAAGAAUAAUGAUAGCUGUAGUAGCCAGAAACUGGAUGGUCAGAAAGACAAAGGACAAUAUUGGUUCUACUUGUAUGGGAAAGGGAAAUGGGCUGAGGAGCAAUACGAUGAUUGAAAACCAUGUGGUUUACGCUGUGUACCGUGCUUGACCGACUCUGUGAAGAUAAGAUAGAUGGAAAAUAGGUACCCAAUUCUCUACGCUAACAGACUUUAACGUUUUGCCUUAUAUAUCAUAGUGAUGUUUAUUUUCUCUCUCUUUCUCUCUCUCUUAUUUCCAACUCUCUCUACCGAUUCAAUCAUAAAGGAGAAUUUCUAAACACUGCAUUUGAAAGGCAAUGUUUAGAAAUAUUUUUUUCCCUAAAAUUUGUAGUAUUUAAAUAACAAUAGAAUUACUCCAUUCCGCGUUUAUUUGUAAAACAUUCGAAUGGCAGCAAUACCAAAGAGUGGAUGGAAGAAAAUGCAAUCGCUACAUUCACUUUCUAGAGAUGUGCUGCUUUGAUAAUAAGCAAAAUCGAUAGACACUACUGCUGCUAUUUUGCCCUGAAGACAUUUUCGAAUUUUGAAAACUUAAUGCCGUUUGUAUCACUGAAAAUUCCAUAAUAUCGUAUAAUUAGUUUGGUAUUCGGAAGUUUUAGAUAGGAAAUUAUUCUUUAAAGAGGCGAAAGAGAGAGAGAGAAACUUACCUAGUAAUAAAAGAUGCCAUAAUGAAAGAUUUGAAGAAAAAUAGAGUAACAUACUAGGACUUUAUGAGGGAUAAAAAGAAAAUUUCGAUAAGAUAUCGAGGAAAUAAGUGAUUUUUAUCUAGAAAUGAUUAGAAGUGCGAAGUGCAGAUUAAGUUGUCAUUUAUAUAUUGCACUCGAAUGAGAUUUAUUUAAUAACCGGAUUUGAUUGAAAGGAAAUUGAAAAGAAACUAAAAGAUAUCAAAUAGAAUAGCAGUUAAACAGCAAACCAAACAGUAAUCGGGCGAAUAAAAAGAGAAAAAAAAAGAGCAGUCGAUAGUGGACCUGGAAACAAGCCACUAUUGUUCUAUAAGUCAACAAAGAUAGUUUAUUGCGUCAAAUAAGGCAAUCACCUUUUGGAUUUCUCACAAAAUAACAUUUUACGACUCUCCACUUCUAUUUUCUAGCACUGGAAGGACACACGUUACACAAAAACAUUCACAUGGAAAUCCUACAGUAGAAUUUAAAUAACAAACUUAAAAAUAAGUAACUGAUAUAUAAAUUAUUUAUAAGAUCAAAAUUAAAGUAAAAAUGUAAUUUUAAAGAGGAAAUAUUUACGAAUAAUCCGGUCCAUUUAUUUAAAAAUUUCGUUUCUUAGUAACAAAAGCAAUAGAAUUCAAUAUAAUUAAAUGCAAGGUUGAAACGUUAUAUAUAUAUAUUCCUUAA
rnacentral:lncRNA from 1 species